rnacentral:lncRNA from 1 species
UUAAGAAAGAGCAUACAAUCGCAGGGUACUUCAAUGGCAUCCAGGAUAGAAACAGAAGUAUUUUAAGUAAAUGCAAACAAUAAAUUCUCAAAUACUUUGUCUUUUGUGUGUACCAGGGAGUUUUUGGAAAACUAAAGGAGUUCGCAGGGUCAUACAUCAUCUUUUUCUUUCAUCUUGAAAACUAAGAAACGAAGAAAAAUUGGAUCAUGGAAAUACAGGAAUUUACAUCAGGUCUGUGCUGGGAGCCUUCCUGGGUGAUCCUGUGUUUCCAUCAUUAAUCACUUUGAACACUGCAUUCUCAUUUGGCAGAAUGCUGAAGCCUUACUGGUCUGAGGUGUCAGAGGUCAGAGCCUGAGACUGACAGAGGAGCCACAGGUGACCAGCAAACUGCAGAAGCUCUGGGGAGAACUCCAUGGAGUCAGGCUAAAAACAGCAGCAACCAGAAACUGUAAGAACUGAGCAGAGAUACCAGCUGCACCACUAGAGAGACAAAGUGUGUAGCUCACUGCCUAGUACAGCAAAAUAGCCACAAUCCUCAGAAGGACACAACAGAAUCUGGAAUCACUAGAAAGUAUUAUCUACAAUGCUCAUUCUUAACCAUGCAAAGAAGAAACAGGAAAGUGUGAUUCAAAGUCAGAAAAAAGUCAGUCAAUAGAAAUCUACUCUGUUAGGGACAGGUGUUGGUGAAUUAAGUAAUUAGAGACUCUAAAGCAGCUAUGAUAAAUAUGUUCACAGAGGAAAGCUCAAUAGAGAAAUGAAACUUCAAACAUGGAAAUUUAAGACUUGAAAAGUACAAAAACUAGAAAGAAAAAUUUACUAGGUGGACCAAACGGCAGAUUAGAGAUGCCAAAAUUGCAUAAAUUGAACAGAGAUCAAAAGACGUUAUUUAAUCUAAAAAAUUGAAGAAAAAUGAGCAGAGCCUUAGAGUCCUGUAAAAUAUCAAGCAAGAUAACAUAUAUGUAAUUGGGUUCCGGAGGGAGAGAAGGAAUGGAAAAAAAUAUUUGCAUAAAUAAUGACUGAAAAAUUCCAUGAUUGGCAGAAAACACUAAUUUACAGAUCUAAGAAGGUCAAGCACCCCAAGCAGGAUAUAUAAUUAUAUCACUUCCAUGCAGAAGAGAAAUGCAGAAAGCCAAAGAUAAAGAGCAAAGUGUUGAAAGCAGCCAAAGAAAAGUGACACAUCACGUACAGGAAAAUAGUUCAGCUCAAUGGCUGAAUUUUCAUCAGAAAUACUGGCAUUCAGAAGAAAUUUAAAAAUGCUGAAAACAAAACUAGCAGCCAAGAAUUUUGUAUCAAGCAAAAAUGUCUUUUCAAAAUUAAAGGCAAAAGGAAGCAACUUCCAGAUAAAUUUAAAAGACAGAAUUUAUGCCAUUAUAUUUACACUGUAAGAAAUGCUAAAUGAGGUUCUUCAGGUUGAAGGGAAAUGACCCUGAUGACAACAUGGAUCUACAGGAAAAAAUGAAAAGCAUCAGAAAUCAUACAUAUGUGAGUAAAUAUAAAAUACUAAAUAUUGAUAGAUGAAUAUAUGGAUAGGUACUACACAAACACAUAUGAACAUAUAAUUCUUAAUAUCUUAACACAUGAUAUAGGACUCUUCAAAACAAAAAAUUAUUACAUUGUAUUGUUGGGUUUGUAAUGGACACAGAUAUAAAAUAUGUAACAAUAUUAAGAGUAGGAAAAGUAGAGAUACAUUGUUAAAAGGUUCUAGUAUUUUACUUGAAGUAGUUCAAUAUUAACUCUAGACUAUUAUAAGUUAAAGUUAAGUUGCGUAUUGUAAUCACUACAGCAACCACUAAAAAUAGAACAAAGAAAUACGGCAAAAAAGCCAAGAGACGAAUUAAAAUGUAACACUAAAGAAAAAAAAAAAACACUACGGGGGGCCGG